GGAGGGUACAGCUCAGUGGGAGAGCGCGUGCUUAGCGUGCACGAGGUCCUGGGUUCAAUCCCCAGUCCCUCCA
rnacentral:tRNA from 1 species